AGAACGAACGCUGGCGGCAGGCUUAACACAUGCAAGUCGAACGCGUGUAGCAAUACACGAGUGGCGCACGGGUGAGUAACGCGUGGAUAUCUGCCUUUUGGUUCGGAAUAACCCCGGGAAACUGGGGCUAAUACCGGAUGGUUCCUACGGGAUAAAGAUUUAUCGCCAAAAGAUGAGUCCGCGUCCGAUUAGCUAGUUGGUGGGGUAAUGGCCUACCAAGGCGACGAUCGGUAGCUGGUCUGAGAGGACGAUCAGCCACACUGGGACUGAGACACGGCCCAGACUCCUACGGGAGGCAGCAGUGGGGAAUAUUGGACAAUGGGGGCAACCCUGAUCCAGCCAUGCCGCGUGAGUGAUGAAGGCCUUCGGGUUGUAAAGCUCUUUUGGCGGGGACGAUGAUGACGGUACCGCAGAAUAGCCCGGCUAACUCGUGCCAGCAGCCGC
rnacentral:rRNA from 1 species